GUUUCUUACUUUCCCAAAAAUCAUCUCUCUUUCUAUCUCGUUAAAGAGAAACCCCUCCCCUUUCUUACUUUCCCCGUCCUCUUGCCGCUGCUGCCACCACCGAUCGCCACCAGUUCAUCGCCAGCCCUUCACUGUAACUGUAAGUAUCUCUCCUACUUCUCUCUCUUUGUUUAUUUCAAAAUUUUCGUAUUUGGAUUUCUCUUAAAAAUCAAAAUUGUCUGCAGGUAAUUUUCGUUUUUGUUUAAAUUGUGCUAGAUACUUACUUCCAUGGUCAAAAUAAGCUUUUAAUAAAGCUUUUUGUUGCUUUGUGCUUGUUAUUGAUGGUGUUCAUUUGAAGUUUAACUUUUCGAACUUAAUUCAAAUUUGUACUAGAAAUUUGUAUGACAUCCGAGUUCGAUUGAACUUAUGACUUGUAGGAUAGUGUUUCUAGUUCUUGUAAAUUGAGAUGGAUAACCCGACUUGACAACACGAAUAAUCUGAACUGAAGCUCAAAAUUGAUCAAACCAGCUAAAUGUAUAUCCUAUUUGGACCAUGUAAAUAGCUGCAUGUCAACAUUCAAAGCAGUUGGCAAGCAGAAUAUCCAAAUCCUAGAUUCAUAUAUUGUCCCAAUUCAGUUGGAUUCAGUCCUAAUUAAAUACUAUUUGAUGGAGCAAAUUAAAUGAAUUCAUAAUGCCAAUGAUUCAAGUAUCCUAGUGUAACUACCAUUUUUGAAAUGUAAGACUAUUUGGGAACUUAAUUUUGGUUUAAAUAAAGAGUUUAAGCUAUAUAUAUGCUUAAUAGUUUUUACACAGUCAGUGUAAUCUGACUAGCUAUAGCAAGUUAUAUCAUGUUUGAUAUGAAAUGUUGUCUGUUAUUGUAGGUCAACAUAAUCUAACUUGAUAGUAUAUAAGUUUUUUUAACGUUGAAGCAGUGCGUACAGAACAUAAACUAUAAAUAAAUUAAAUUAGCUUUUAACUUCUCUUUAAGCUCCCUCAAGAGAGGUUGCUCUAAUGGUAAGCAACCCCACUUCCAACUGAGAGGUUGUGAGUUCGAGUCUCCCCAAGAGCAAGGUGGGAAGUUCUUGGAAGGAAGGAUGCCGGGGGUCUAUUUUGGAAACAGCCUCUCUACUCAAGGGUAGGGGUAAGGUCUGCGUAGACAUUACCCUCCCCAGACCCCACUAAGUGAGAUUAUACUGGGUUGUUGUUGUUGUUGUUGUUGUUUAUGCUCCCUCCUGCACUCUUGAACCUUUCCGAAUGGUGUCCGAGUCUAAUUAAUACGGCUCAAAAACAUUUAAAAGUUGAAAUCAACUUCUUUAUUUGUUUGACUUGAUCUUCCAAUUAG
rnacentral:lncRNA from 1 species